UGCUGGAACGCGCCCCAGGCGCACCCAGAAACCCUUUGUGAACUUAUACCUUACUGUUGCCUCGGCGCAUGCCGGCCCCCCUGGGGGCCCCUCCUUCGGGAGGAGCAGGCACGCCGGCGGCCAACCUAACUCUUGUUUUUACACUGAAACUCUGAGAAUAAAACAUAAAUGAAUCAAAACUUUCAACAACGGAUCUCUUGGUUCUGGCAUCGAUGAAGAACGCAGCGAAAUGCGAUAAGUAAUGUGAAUUGCAGAAUUCAGUGAAUCAUCGAAUCUUUGAACGCACAUUGCGCCCUCUGGUAUUCCGGAGGGCAUGCCUGUUCGAGCGUCAUUUCAACACUCAAGCCUGGCUUGGUGAUGGGGCACUGCUUUUACCCAAGGAGCAGGCCCUGAAAUUCAGUGGCGAGCUCGCCAGGACCCCGAGCGCAGUAGUUAAACCCUCGCUCUGGAAGGCCCUGGCGGUGCCCUGCCGUUAAACCCCCAACUUCUGAAAAUUUGACCUCGGAUCAGGUAGGAAUACCCGCUGAACUUAAGCAUA
rnacentral:rRNA from 1 species